rnacentral:rRNA from 1 species
AUUGGACGCUGGCGGAAUGCUUUACACAUGCAAGUCGAACGGCAGCACGGGGGCAACCCUGGUGGCGAGUGGCGAACGGGUGAGUAAUACAUCGGAACGUGCCCAAUCGUGGGGGAUAACGUAGCGAAAGCUACGCUAAUACCGCAUACGAUCUACGGAUGAAAGCGGGGGAUCGCAAGACCUCGCGCGAAUGGAGCGGCCGAUGGCAGAUUAGGUAGUUGGUGGGGUAAAGGCUCACCAAGCCAACGAUCUGUAGCUGGUCUGAGAGGACGACCAGCCACACUGGGACUGAGACACGGCCCAGACUCCUACGGGAGGCAGCAGUGGGGAAUUUUGGACAAUGGGCGCAAGCCUGAUCCAGCAAUGCCGCGUGAGUGAAGAAGGCCUCGGGUUGUAAGCUCUUUCAGUUGAGAAGAAAAGAUUAGUGACUAAUAAUUAGUCAAUUCAUGACGGUAGUCAACAGAAGAAGACACCGGCGUAACUACGU